GGGUUGUGAGGUUAAGCGACUAAGCGUACACGGUGGAUGCCCUGGCAGUCAGAGGCGAUGAAGGACGUGCUAAUCUGCGAAAAGCGUCGGUAAGGUGAUAUGAACCGUUACAGCCGGCGAUGUCCGAAUGGGGAAACCCAGUGCAAUUCGUUGCACUAUCGUUAACUGAAUACAUAGGUUAACGAGGCGAACCGGGGGAACUGAAACAUCUAAGUACCCCGAGGAAAAGAAAUCAACCGAGAUUCCCCCAGUAGCGGCGAGCGAACGGGGAGCAGCCCAGAGUCUGAAUCAGCUUGUGUGUUAGUGGAACGGUCUGGAAAGUCCGACGGUACAGGGUGAUAGUCCCGUACACCAAAAUGCACAGGUUGUGAACUCGAAGAGUAGGGCGGGACACGUGGUAUCCUGUCUGAAUAUGGGGACCAUCCUCCAAGGCUAAAUACUCCUGACUGACCGAUAGUGAACCAGUACCGUGAGGGAAAGGCGAAAAGAACCCCGGCGAGGGGAGUGAAAAAGAACCUGAAACCGUGUACGUACAAGCAGUGGGAGCACCUUCGGGUGUGACUGCGUACCUUUUGUAUAAUGGGUCAGCGACUUAUAUUCUGUAGCAAGGUUAACCGUAUAGGGAGCCGCAGGGAAACCGAGUCUUAACUGGGCGUUAAGUUGCAGGGUAUAGACCCGAAACCCGGUGAUCUAGCCAUGGGCAGGUUGAAGGUUGGGUAACACUAACUGGAGGACCGAACCGACUAAUGUUGAAAAAUUAGCGGAUGACUUGUGGCUGGGGGUGAAAGGCCAAUCAAACCGGGAGAUAGCUGGUUCUCCCCGAAAGCUAUUUAGGUAGCGCCUCGUGAACUCAUCUUCGGGGGUAGAGCACUGUUUCGGCUAGGGGGUCAUCCCGACUUACCAACCCGAUGCAAACUACGAAUACCGAAGAAUGUUAUCACGGGAGACACACGGCGGGUGCUAACGUCCGUCGUGAAGAGGAAACAACCCAGACCGCCAGCUAAGGUCCCAAAGUCAUGGUUAAGUGGGAAACGAUGUGGGAAGGCACAGACAGCCAGGAUGUUGGCUUAGAAGCAGCCAUCAUUUAAAGAAAGCGUAAUAGCUCACUGGUCGAGUCGGCCUGCGCGGAAGAUGUAACGGGGCUAAACCAUGCACCGAAGCUGCGGCAGCGACACUAUGUGUUGUUGGGUAGGGGAGCGUUCUGUAAGCCUGCGAAGGUGUGCUGUGAGGCAUGCUGGAGGUAUCAGAAGUGCGAAUGCUGACAUAAGUAACGAUAAAGCGGGUGAAAAGCCCGCUCGCCGGAAGACCAAGGGUUCCUGUCCAACGUUAAUCGGGGCAGGGUGAGUCGACCCCUAAGGCGAGGCCGAAAGGCGUAGUCGAUGGGAAACAGGUUAAUAUUCCUGUACUUGGUGUUACUGCGAAGGGGGGACGGAGAAGGCUAUGUUAGCCGGGCGACGGUUGUCCCGGUUUAAGCAUGUAGGCUGGUUAUCCAGGCAAAUCCGGAUAAUCAAGGCUGAGGUGUGAUGACGAGGCACUACGGUGCUGAAGUAACAAAUGCCCUGCUUCCGUGAAAGCCUCUAAGCAUCAGGUAACAUCAAAUCGUACCCCAAACCGACACAGGUGGUCAGGUAGAGAAUACCAAGGCGCUUGAGAGAACUCGGGUGAAGGAACUAGGCAAAAUGGUGCCGUAACUUCGGGAGAAGGCACGCUGGUGUGUAGGUGAAGUCCCUGCGGAUGGAGCUGAGACCAGUCGAAGAUACCAGCUGGCUGCAACUGUUUAUUAAAAACACAGCACUGUGCAAACACGAAAGUGGACGUAUACGGUGUGACGCCUGCCCGGUGCCGGAAGGUUAAUUGAUGGGGUUAUCCGUAAGGAGAAGCUCUUGAUCGAAGCCCGGUAAACGGCGGCCGUAACUAUAACGGUCCUAAGGUAGCGAAAUUCCUUGUCGGGUAAGUUCCGACCUGCACGAAUGGCGUAAUGAUGGCCAGGCUGUCUCCACCCGAGACUCAGUGAAAUUGAACUCGCUGUGAAGAUGCAGUGUACCCGCGGCAAGACGGAAAGACCCCGUGAACCUUUACUAUAGCUUGACACUGAACAUUGAGCCUUGAUGUGUAGGAUAGGUGGGAGGCUUUGAAGCGUGGACGCCAGUCUGCGUGGAGCCAACCUUGAAAUACCACCCUUUAAUGUUUGAUGUUCUAACGUUGGCCCCUGACCGGGGUUGCGGACAGUGUCUGGUGGGUAGUUUGACUGGGGCGGUCUCCUCCCAAAGCGUAACGGAGGAGCACGAAGGUUAGCUAAUCCUGGUCGGACAUCAGGAGGUUAGUGCAAUGGCAUAAGCUAGCUUGACUGCGAGCGUGACGGCGCGAGCAGGUGCGAAAGCAGGUCAUAGUGAUCCGGUGGUUCUGAAUGGAAGGGCCAUCGCUCAACGGAUAAAAGGUACUCCGGGGAUAACAGGCUGAUACCGCCCAAGAGUUCAUAUCGACGGCGGUGUUUGGCACCUCGAUGUCGGCUCAUCACAUCCGGGCUGAAGUAGGUCCCAAGGGUAUGGCUGUUCGCCAUUUAAAGUGGUACGCGAGCUGGGUUUAGAACGUCGUGAGACAGUUCGGUCCCUAUCUGCCGUGGGCGCUGGAGAAUUGAGGGGCUGCUCCUAGUACGAGAGGACCGGAGUGGACGCAUCACUGGUGUUCGGGUUGUCAUGCCAAUGGCACUGCCCGGUAGCUAAAUGCGGAAGAGAUAAGUGCUGAAAGCAUCUAAGCACGAAACUUGCCCCGAGAUGAGUUCUCCUGAGACUAUAAGUCUCCUGAAGGAACGUUAAAGACGAUGACGUUGAUAGGCCGGGUGUGUAAGCGCAGCGAUGCGUUGAGCUAACCGGUACUAAUGAACCGUGAGGCUUAACCUUACAACGCCGAAG
rnacentral:rRNA from 1 species